rnacentral:tRNA from 1 species
GCAUUAAUGGGGUAGUGGUAACCUGGGUCGUUGCCACAAGGCGAGGACUCGACCCGCCGGGGGUUCGAUUCCCUCUUAAUGCA